AGCCAAACGGGAUCGGGGGGCGGGGACCUGGUUCUGCCGGGCCGUGUCUGGGAUAGGGUGUGGAGAAGAUUCUGGGUUCUGGGACGGGGACGGAGAAGAGAACAGGGGCUCUUCCGCGAGGAUGCGGUAGGGAGACCUGGCUUCGGCAAGUGGGGAUGGAGUCUGGUCUCAGAGGAGGCGGGACGCGGAGGGUGGCCCCAGGGCCCCAAGGAGAGUGACGGUGGAGAGGAGAGAGCGGUGGGAGGAAAGCGAUGAGGCGAUGUGGGUGAGGAGACAACUACUGAAGUAUUUACAAGUGAAGUGAUUAUGUUGGGGAUUUGCUUUUUAAAAUUUCACAAGGAAAAAAAUGAGUGAGCAUGGAAAUGGAUUUGUCAAGCAAAUGACACCUGUUACCUCCUCCAGGGGAGGAGUCCUACUGCAUGGAGGAUAGUAAAUAGCUGAAGAAUGCCUGCCACCAAGAGCAGCAAUCCCAGAAUGUCUACUCCUUGGUUUGUAGAUGCCAGGGUUGCCAAGAGAGACACAACUCACGUAGGCACUGGAUGGAACAACACUUUACUCACAUAGGGAAGAAACAGCAAGAUCAGCUUCAGUAGUGGGCAUUGGUCCCCCAUGGCUUAAGAAGAGUUUAAACGCAAAUGAGAAAUCAAGAAAGACUGAAGAAUCUGGGUUUUUUUCCUGAUUAUAAAAUAUUUAAAAUGUAUAUCAAAGUGCAGAGAAUAACAUUUUUAAAAACCCAUAUACUCAUCCCUCC
rnacentral:lncRNA from 1 species